rnacentral:tRNA from 1 species
AAGAUUUUAAGUUAAUAAAACUAUAGCUUUUCAAAGGUUAAAAUAACAAAGUUAAAUCUUG